UACGUAGGGUGCGAGCGUUGUCCGGAAUUAUUGGGCGUAGAGGGCUCGUAGGCGGUUUGUCGCGUCGGGAGUGAAAACAUCCAGCUUAACUGGGUGCUUGCUUUCGAUACGGGCAGACUUGAGGUAUGCAGGGGAGAAUGGAAUUCCUGGUGUAGCGGUGAAAUGCGCAGAUAUCAGGAGGAACACCGGUGGCGAAGGCGGUUCUCUGGGCAUUACCUGACGCUGAGGAGCGAAAGUGUGGGGAGCGAACAGG
rnacentral:rRNA from 1 species